rnacentral:lncRNA from 1 species
ACCCAUUCUGAGUCGCCAAAUACAUAGUACAGAAAUCAAAUACAAACUUAAUUUAUACAAUACGACAAAAUGUAGCUGAGAGUUUUAACAUGAAUAUUAUCUCGUAGACAAUAUCCAAACUCAAAUGGAGUCCUCAUUACAUUUAUUAUCACACUAAUCAUAGAAUAGUGAGGACUACUAUAGCCACCAUCUCGGACCAUCACUCCAUUCCCCGACUAGUCCCAUCUAUAUUCUCAUUUCCUGAAGAGAACAAUGAAAGUAAAGGGUGAGCUCAACUAGCCCACUAAAGAAUAUUAUUACUAAGAUAAUUCACAAUAAAUUAUUGUUAGCCUUCAACAGUGUUAAACUGAUAGAAUACAAUAGACAACAAGUUUAACUGCAGCGGAAUAAACAAUCCAUUAGAAGAGUCAAGUGAGCAUGAUAUCUACUAUCUUCUAUGAUUUAAAAGUUCAUCAUCAAUAUUUUACCGCUAUAACACAGCUCAAUAAAUAAAUCACAUCAUCGAAUUAUCCAUGGUGUUGAAGGCUUCUAAACUGUGUACUGAAAAUGUAUUUUUUCUUUCAAGAAGCACCAGGCGCAACAACAUCCUCACCUUCAACGAUGGAUGAGGUAGCCUCCUAGAAAAUGGUCCAUGUGACACCCCCAAAUCCGGGUACUUCAUUUCCACCAAAUUUGGUGCUCACUAUCAAAAUAAUUACAUCUAACUACCCAUGAUAAAGGAUAAAACAUUAAAUAACUUAAACAAUAAUCUUUCCCAUUAAAGGGUUACAUCAUCUCAUAAACAAUCCUAGGUAAUCUAACCUUAAAUUAUUACAUCAGUUUGCGAAAUACAUUAUAAAAUAAAGCAAUUCUUAAAACAUCAUGCAUUUAAAUAAACUUUAAAUAAUUCUUCAACACUUGGACAUCUUGCCCUUUCUCAUGCUAGUAGAUGGAUCGUCACCUUUUUCGACUUUAGCUGCAUGGUUAAUUGCAAGAGUGAGCAAACAAUUGCUCACUGACAUAAAGAAUAGUAAUAAUAACCAUAUGAGAAUGAACAAUGAAUGUUGUACAAUAAUGAACUUGUUCUAUGAAUAGAAACAAAAACAAGUUUGAACUUUUAAUAUCUGAGGGUCUUAUGACCACGAACUAUGUCCACGAUGAUUAGGUAUUACUACCCCAACCUUAACAGUUAAUUAGACUGUACAGACUCUUCUUAACGUACUUAGGGGGAUCAGCCCUUUGUACCAUGUAUUGUGCACAAACAACUAAACGUUACACGUACAAAAUCCCCUAUGUUACGGUUGUUCGUCUCAAUUUGAAUUUAGAAUUUCUGCACUAAAGAAAGUCUAGUUUGGAACUAGCUUAUCAGUGUUUCUAGAAUUUUAGAACACUUAGUCAAUUUCCAUCAAUAAAGGUUUAAUAAAAGAAUGUAUAACUGAACAAGGCUAUCAAAGUCAAAGAUCCGAUAUUAACAAUAUAUAACUGAAUAAACAUGAUACACAUGCAAAGUACUAUGUUCAAAAGAGUUAGAACAAUCUCAUUUGAAUCGACGUAUUAGAACAAUAUAUUCUUUGUAUAAUAAUUAGAAAAGUGAAACUUGCUAGAUGUAACGAAUUAGAUUACAAGAGCUUAAUCAAUCGUAUAUAAGAAUAGAAUUACUAAUCUUGCUCAACCAAAGUUUGGGAACUUGCAUUCAUAGAUAAAAGAAUGAAUUUAGAAAGCUUUCUCAAUGUAAAGAGUUAAGGUUUAGAAACUUGCAUAAUUAAAA